rnacentral:tRNA from 1 species
GCUCCUAUGGCGUAAUAGGCUAGCGCGCCGUGCUUAUAGUUACAAGCUAUACUAGAGUCACGCGGAGGUUGCGAGUUCGAUCCUCGCUAGGAGCA